GCAGCACGGGGGCAACCCUGGUGGCGAGUGGCGAACGGGUGAGUAACAUAUCGGAACGUGCCCUGGAGUGGGGGAUAACUAGUCGAAAGAUUAGCUAAUACCGCAUACGAUCUACGGAUGAAAGUGGGGGAUCGCAAGACCUCAUGCUCGUGGAGCGGCCGAUAUCUGAUUAGCUAGUUGGUGGGGUAAAGGCCUACCAAGGCAUCGAUCAGUAGCUGGUCUGAGAGGACGACCAGCCACACUGGGACUGAGACACGGCCCAGACUCCUACGGGAGGCAGCAGUGGGGAAUUUUGGACAAUGGGCGCAAGCCUGAUCCAGCAAUGCCGCGUGAGUGAAGAAGGCCUUCGGGUUGUAAAGCUCUUUUGUCAGGGAAGAAACGGUUCGGGUUAAUACCUUGGGCUAAUGACGGUACCUGAAGAAUAAGCACCGGCUAACUACGUGCCAGCAGCCGCGGUAAUACGUAGGGUGCAAGCGUUAAUCGGAAUUACUGGGCGUAAAGCGUGCGCAGGCGGUUGUGCAAGACAGAUGUGAAAUCCCCGGGCUCAACCUGGGAAUUGCAUUUGUGACUGUACGGCUAGAGUGCGUCAGAGGGGGGUAGAAUUCCACGUGUAGCAGUGAAAUGCGUAGAGAUGUGGAGGAAUACCGAUGGCGAAGGCAGCCCCCUGGGAUAACACUGACGCUCAUGCACGAAAGCGUGGGGAGCAAACAGGAUUAGAUACCCUGNUAGUCCACGCCCUAAACGAUGUCUACUAGUUGUCGGGUCUUUAUUGACUUGGUAACGCAGCUAACGCGUGAAGUAGACCGCCUGGGGAGUACGGUCGCAAGAUUAAAACUCAAAGGAAUUGACNGGGACCCGCACAAGCGGNGGAUGAUGUGGAUUAAUUCGAUGCAACGCGAAAAACCUUACCUACCCNUNGACAUGG
rnacentral:rRNA from 1 species